UAGACAAAUUUUUGUAUUCGACUGUAUUCAUGACGUGAAACAUGAGAUUACAGCUAGACAGACGCGUGAAACAGGGGAUUACACUAUUUUUAAACGGAAAGUGAAUCAAUUAACAUAAUAGACUCCU
rnacentral:pre_miRNA from 1 species